rnacentral:rRNA from 1 species
ACGAACGCUGGCGGCGUGCUUAACACAUGCAAGUCGAACGGAAAGGCCCUGCUUUUGUGGGGUGCUCGAGUGGCGAACGGGUGAGUAACACGUGAGUAACCUGCCCUUGACUUUGGGAUAACUUCAGGAAACUGGGGCUAAUACCGGAUAGGAGCUCCUGCUGCAUGGUGGGGGUUGGAAAGUUUCGGCGGUUGGGGAUGGACUCGCGGCUUAUCAGCUUGUUGGUGGGGUAGUGGCUUACCAAGGCUUUGACGGGUAGCCGGCCUGAGAGGGUGACCGGCCACAUUGGGACUGAGAUACGGCCCAGACUCCUACGGGAGGCAGCAGUGGGGAAUAUUGCACGAUGGGCGGAAGCCGGAUGCAGCAACGCCGCGUGCGGGAGGACGGCCUUCGGGUUGUAAACCGCUUUCGCCUGUGACGAAGCGUGAGUGACGGGAAUGGGUAAAGAAGCACCGGCGAACUACGU